GUCUCAGUAGCAUAGUGGUUAAUGCGCUGCCUCGGAUAGGUUGAGAUGCGGGUUCGAAUCCCGCCCGAGAUG
rnacentral:tRNA from 1 species